rnacentral:rRNA from 1 species
UGGGGAAUAUUGGACAAUGGGCGAAAGCCUGAUCCAGCCAUGCCGCGUGAGUGACGAAGGCCUUAGGGUUGUAAAACUCUUUCGUCGGGGACGAUAAUGACGGUACCCGAAGAAGAAGCUCCGGCUAACUUCGUGCCAGCAGCCGCGGUAAUACGAAGGGAGCUAGCGUUGUUCGGAAUCACUGGGCGUAAAGCGCACGUAGGCGGAUAGUUAAGUCAGGGGUGAAAUCCUGGGGCUCAACCCCAGAACUGCCUUUGAUACUGGUUGUCUCGAGGUCGAGAGAGGUUGGUGGAAUUCCUAGUGUAGAGGUGAAAUUCGUAGAUAUUAGGAAGAACACCAGUGGCGAAGGCGGCCAACUGGCUCGAUACUGACGCUGAGGUGCGAAAGCGUGGGGAGCAAACAGGAUUAGAUACCCUAGUAGUCCCUGAGCGGGCUGGCAAGGCGCAU